CAGCAGAACGGUCCGGAUGCUUUCCCGUACCAGUGUAGUUUACAGCUAAAUCAACGUGGGGAGGCAAGAAGAGGGCUCUUCUUCCUCAAAAGGAGAAUGAGUAAUGCCAGCAUUUGACAAGGGAAGUCUGAUUUGCAUAAUGGCUGCCCUGUUAAUAAGUAGCUGCAGAAUAUGUAAACUACUGCUACGACUGCUUGCCUCCUGCAGAAUUGGAUCUGAGUACACUUUUCCAAAGCAUCAGCACUUCCUCUCUUACUACUCUUGAUGAUGCUUACGACUCUUCUUUCACCUAAGGAAGGCUAGAUGCCUCUAUGUACAAUAAGCAACCAAGUCUGCAAGCAUGGAGAAAUGAAGGCCAUCAGUAGCCUAUUUAUCUGUCUGGUUUAAUCUGCCUACUCCUCAGACAUUCUUUCUGUAGCCACGUCUUGCACUUCAACUCAACCCUCUGGUCAAUUAAAGGAGAGUACAAAUAAAGGCAAAGUAAUAAAAAAAAACUAUGCUUUUUCAUGGUGGAAGCAGAAUAAAUUCUUCAAGAUAAGGUCCUCACAAUAAAUGUUCUUCUUUUGUCAGUUAGGCUGGCUAUAUCUUGCUUUACAGAUUCCAUUUAUAAUAAUACUACUCGAUAUGUAUUUUUAAAUUCUGCAUUGUCAGUACAUUCUUAAUCAUUUUUCUGUGAGCAGGUGGCUAAAGUAUGAUAGAGCUGGUCUGGAUCCCUCACCAGGGAUGCUCCAUCGUAGCUAAAGGGCCAAUGAUCUGUACAAGCAGUAGCUUUGCCUGGGACUUCAUCCAGUAGCUUCUACCACAGUAGACACCCCUGUUGCUAUGCCUGCUUUUUUCACGGGUCUUUCCUCAGAGAACACGAGGUGAUUUCACAGUUUCCCUCCUCACCCCUCUGGAAAGCCCUCACAAAGAGUAGUGUCCUACCAGCAAGAUUGACUUGACCUAAUUUUUCUGAUUCUGAAUGGAUAGGCAACUCCCAGGGUUGAAAUAAAUGACAUAUACUUAAAUGUCUCCUGCAAUCACAGCAAUAUCUGUCUUUACAUAGGGGAUGCAGAGACAGUUUCACUGCCUCUUCCAUGUUCGUCCUGCAAUAGAUUUUCUUUGUAAGUAGCCUUUAGCACUUGGGCACUGACUAGACCCAGUUGAGAAAAAGGCUUUGCCGACACUGUGGUGUCAUCUGCUGAUCUAUUUUUCUGGUGUUUCUCACGAGCUUUGUUCCAAGAUAGAUGUGGUAAAAAUUACCAGUCUGGAAACUGUGUAGUCAUACUAUCGUGGCCCUGUGCCAGAGCUAAAAAUUCUCACCAGGAGGCAGGGCAUGCUGUGAUAACUCAGCUACACAGCUUCCAGACCAGAGCUGGCUUACCUCCAGCCAUCCCUGAGGAUGACUGCAGCAGAGCUCUACCUCUCUAUUCCCAUCCAUACAGACACAUCCUCCAGAGCCUCUUUCUUUUUGGCUCUUCUGGGUGUACUUCUGUAUUUACUUGCCAAAGCCUGGUGGCAGGUUUUAUUUGGACAGCUCCCAGUGUUGAUGUGAAUUGCUUAUACAAUAUCCCAGCUGCUCUGCUGGGAAAACAAAGCAUGCAGAACUAACAAAGGCAGCUAGAAGCCACGAUUAUAUCAGUCCUGGGAAGUGUAACAGCCAGCAGGUGUCAGUGAUGCUAGAGGAAUGGAAUAGGAAGGCACCUGCAUUUUAAUAGGAAAAGUAGGGGAAAAAAAAGAUUUUUUUUUUUUGUGUUUGCUUGGCUUGUGCUUUUAGCAUGUGGUUUGUAGUGGAAGAUAAAUCCUAAAGC